rnacentral:lncRNA from 1 species
ACCUGUUUAUAUACCCUACCUUUAUAUACAUCCUUUUUUUAUAAGCAUUGUGAAACCUAUUACGAUCUUUGCAAAAAAAACGAUUUUAUAGAAAGCUUCUUACAUAUGACGACAACAUUAGAAAUGAAACAAAAACAAGAACAUAUGAGGUUAAUGUUAGAAGAAGAAUAUAAAAAAAUAAAUAAAAGAAAUGAUAUUACACGCGUACAUUUGUUGAUACAUAACACAGUUGAAUGUGUAGAUACAGAUACAAAUGACAUAUGUAAACACUUGUUAAACGAAUUGGUAAUGUUUUAUAAUAACAACAAUAAGAAGAAUAAGAAUAAGAAUAAUAAUAAGAAUAAGAAUAAGAAUAAGAAUAAUGAAAGUAAAAACAAAGCAACGGAUAUACAUAACAAUUUAUCACUUGUAGUAAACCAAAGUCAUACUACAACUGACAACACAGAAAACAUAAUUAUCCUUUUUAUAAAAAACCAACUACAAGAUUUAUUUUUAUCAUUAAUGUUUUAUCUAAUAGGAACGACUUAUCCUAUAAUCCAAUCGAUUUUAAAAGAUAAUGAACAAUUUUAUACAUUUCUUACAUCUGAUAGUAAUAUAUCCUAUUUCAGCAACAGAUAUGACAUUUAUAAAAAUAUGUUUACAAAAGAUUUUAUACAUUUAUUUUACAAAAGUAUAGAACGUGUUUUUUGUUAUAUAAAUAUAGAGUUAAUUGAUAGUUUGUUGAUGUAUGACCAGAUACAUGAUAUGUAUAAAUUUUAUUUAAGACGGGACAAAAUGAGUCCUGUAUUACUUGUAAGGAAGCACAUGCUGGAUGAUAAUAAUGAUGGUACUGGGGCUAGUUGCGACUUAUCCUGUCAUGACAAAACAAAUAAUAAUAGUUAUAAUAAUAAUAAUAAUAAUAAUAAUAAUAAUAGUAAUAGUAAUAGUAAUAAUAAUAGUAAUAAACUAUGCUUAUAUUUUUUAUAUUUUUGGAACCUUCUUAUACAUAACGGAUUAUGCAAUACAAACCCAUAUGUACAAAUGAUAUCCCUAAAAAUAAUAUUUAAUUAUAUAAAUAAAAAACUCUCUGGUCAUUACAUCCCUUUGUUACUAAUUAAAUUACGUGGUACUGAUAAAUUUAUUAUUAACAUUAUUAUUAAAAAGCUUUUAUCAUUACUUUUAAAUUCUUAUUUUUUAGAACAUUUUUACAUAUAUAAUGAAGAAAUUGCUCAAUAUAUUUCGAACAUAUGUAAGUUGUUAAUUCAGUUUCCUUGGCUAACCAACGGACAUGAGGACGGCAACGCCAUAAGCGAACUAAAUAAAGAUUUAUAUGCAAAGGAUGCAAAUAAAGUAUUAUUAUCACCAUUAAAAGAGCGUGGCUAUAAUGAAAUAACAACCAUUAUUCAUACCACGAAUAAUAAUAAUAAUAAUAAUAAUAAUAAUAAGGGACAGAAUGAUAAGAACAACACAAGUAAUCCAAGUGGAAUCGAUGGAAACGGUGGAAUCGGUGAAAACGACAACGACAACGACAAUAUUAACGAUGAUGAAGAAUUCAAAAUUUUAAACGAAAUACUACAAAACGAACAGAGUGUCGAAUAUGUGGAAUGUUUUCAUAAUACAUGCGAUUAUCAAAAUGAAGAUGAUCAGUACAAACUUAGCAAAGAUUUUAAAAUAAAUAAAGAAAUAUUAUCCUAUAGUAAAUUUUUUUUAAUAAUAGUUACUUUAUCACGUGCAGUAAACAUGCAUUUGCAAAAUAAAAAUAAAUCAUUUACAAAAAUAUUAACAAUAUUAAAUGCUUAUAAAAAUAUAAUUAAUGACUUACCAUUAGAAAUAUGGAAUCCAAAAAACGGAAUAAUAUUAAGUGUCAUGUCUCCUUUGUAUAAAAUAGCUUCCAUUUUUAAAAAAAGGUACAUACAUGCACGUGUACGUUGUAUAAAUAUAUGAAUAUAUAUAUAUAUAUAUAGAUACAUAUCUCUUGAUGUGUGCAUUACGUUAUUUUACUUAUAUGCAUAUCUUUCCGUGUUCAUUUGGCUAAAAUGUAUUUUAUUUUAUUUUAUUUUAUUUUAUUGUUUUUUUUUUUUUUUUUUUUUUUUUUUUUUACUUUUCAUAUUUACCCACCCAUUACUCUUUUUUUGACUCGGAUUUUUUUUUUUUUUUUAUAGACUUUUUGUAGAAGAUAAAAAAAUAUUCGAAGAAGAAAGCAUGCACAAGAAGCUUAUGUAUUUAUCAUGUUACUCGUGGGAUAUUAUUUCUUGCUUAGAGAAGAAAUUACAAAAUAAGAAAAACGUUUUUAAUCAAGCUUUUAUUCAAACAAGAC